UACGGGGGGGGCAAGCGUUGUUCGGAAUUACUGGGCGUAAAGGGCUCGUAGGUGGCCAACUAAGUCAGACGUGAAAUCCCUCGGCUUAACCGGGGAACUGCGUCUGAUACUGGAUGGCUGGAGUGUGGGAGAGGGAUGCGGAAUUCCAGGUGUAGCGGUGAAAUGCGUAGAUAUCUGGAGGAACACCGGUGGCGAAGGCGGCAUCCUGGACCAUUACUGACACUGAAAAGCGAAAGCCAGGGGAGCAAACGGG
rnacentral:rRNA from 1 species